AACGAACGCUGGCGGCAUGCCUAACACAUGCAAGUCGAACGAGACCUUCGGGCCUAGUGGCGCACGGGUGCGUAACGCGUGGGAACCUGCCCUUAGGUUCGGAAUCACUCCCCGAAAGGGGUGCUAAUACCGGAUAAUGUCUUAGGACCAAAGAUUUAUCGCCUUUGGAUGGGCCCGCGUUGGAUUAGCGAGUUGGUAGGGUAAAAGCCUACCAAGGCGACGAUCCAUAGCUGGUCUGGGAGGAGGAUCAGCCACACUGGGACUGAGACACGGCCCAGAAUCCUACGGAAGAGAGCAGAAGGGAGUAUUGUACAAGGAGCGAUGGCGUGAUCCAGCAAUGCGGGGGGAGUGAUGAAGGCCGUAGGGAUGUAAAGCUCUUUUACCCGGGAUGAUAGUGACAGUAACGGGAGAAUAAGCACCGGCUAACUCCGUG
rnacentral:rRNA from 1 species